rnacentral:tRNA from 1 species
UUAAUUGAAGCCAAAUAGAGGCAUAUCACUGUUAAUGAUACCAUUGAAUUUUUAUUCCAAUUAAA